GACGAACGCUGGCGGCGUGCUUAACACAUGCAAGUCGAACGGAAAGGCCCUGCUUUUGUGGGGUGCUCGAGUGGCGAACGGGUGAGUAACACGUGAGUAACCUGCCCUUGACUUUGGGAUAACUUCAGGAAACUGGGGCUAAUACCGGAUAGGAGCUCCUGCUGCAUGGUGGGGGUUGGAAAGUUUCGGCGGUUGGGGAUGGACUCGCGGCUUAUCAGCUUGUUGGUGGGGUAGUGGCUUACCAAGGCUUUGACGGGUAGCCGGCCUGAGAGGGUGACCGGCCACAUUGGGACUGAGAUACGGCCCAGACUCCUACGGGAGGCAGCAGUGGGGAAUAUUGCACAAUGGGCGGAAGCCUGAUGCAACAACGCCGCGUGCGGGAUGACGGCCUUCGGGUUGGAAACCGCUUUCGCCUGUGACGAAGCGUGAGUGACGGUAAUGGGUAAAGAAGCACCGGCUAACUACGUGC
rnacentral:rRNA from 1 species